UUCUGCCCCUGUGUGGAGCCACCAGCAUGGACGGGGUCCACUGCCUGGAGUUUGUUCAGUAGAGCCCUCUGGUCGGCAGGGAGGCCAGGAACUCCCUUGUUCCAGGUGGUGAGGAGACGCCCCAUCUGUGCAGCAUCCUCUUGUGGAGAGUGAGCUGGGGCUCGCCUCUCACAGGGAGCUUCCGAGCCGGCAAAGGUGGCAGACAUCCGAGCUUCUGACGGUGCCCGGGACGACCCUGUUCUCGGUGACUGCGAAUGUCGACGAAUGACUGAAUGGACAGCCAGACUCCAUGUUGCUGAGACUGAGCCUUUCCGAAAAGCCGUGAGCAGCGCUCGCAUCCUGAGCAGAAAGAUUCCUGACAGAGGCAUUUACGCAUUAUGCACAUUCCAUGAAGGAGCCUUUUAAGGGGGCAUGGUCAUCAUAUCUUCAUCACCCACGGCCUGAAUGCCCAUCACGUGGCCCCUGUCAUCAGGGAUACGGAGAUGGUCCUCGUGCCCACAGAGCUUACAGGCAGGGCCGGGGCUGCUGAAAUUGCACAUCUCUGUCUCGGGGUUCAGUCCCAGCCUCUCUCCUGCAACAGAGCCUGGCAGACUAGUCCUUGAAGGGACUAGCUUCAAGGGAGGACUCCUUGGCUUCCUAGUCUACCUGAUCACGGAAAAGGCCCCUUAAAGGAAGAUACUGCAGCUUGCAACUCUACAGAUACCAGCAGCAGAAGAAAAACAUGGGCAACUGCUGAUAACCUAAUGUGGAGAAUUAAACUCCAACGAAGCAAAGCGUGCUUGUUACUUCCUCUGAGGAAGUCUCCCCUGAUGCUGCAGGGUAGAUGAGAGCUCCUCCUCUGUGAUCCCACCAAGCCCUGCAUGUUCCUCCAGCUUCUCACUCAACCCACUGGAUUAUCCUGAGUUCAUCUGUUCUACCAGACUGUCAACUCCUUGAGCCUAGAGAGUGUGUGAUAAAACUUAUUUAGUGAAGCACACAGUAGGGCAUAGGCAGCAGCUCACUUGUUAAGUUGGGCAAAUGGUGAAAGUUGACAGAGAAAAUGGCGAGUGUGGGAAGAACACCAAAGGGAAUCUCUACUUUCAGCUGAAGGUAAAUCCCCACCUUUUCCAUCCUAGAAAAUGCAGGACAUUCUCCCUGAGACCUGAGUCCCCGAGGGAUGUGACUCACGUGUCUCUUCCAGGGAAGAAAGGAGCCAUGGAGGCUUGGGAGAUGGCCUCAGCGCCUGAGGAAAGGGGGUGUCCCCUGCCACUUUGCAGG